AAAUUGAAUUAAAAAAGAACAAAAAUGGAUUGCAAUAUGCAAUAACGAAAAUGAGAAGAUGAAAUGAGGAAAAAAUAAUACCUUUCUUUUCUCUUUCGAUAGAAGAAACAAAUGUCGACAAAGAACAAUAAGAGAGAUCUAAGAAAAUUGAAACCUUUCUUCUCUUUUCCUCUCCGAUUUUUCUCUCAUGUUUUCUCUCAUUUUCUUAAUCUAAUAGUUGAUUUUUCUGUAUUCUUUAUCAACCCUGAGAUUAGGAAAAGAAGAGAAAACAUAGGAAAAAAUGGGAGAGAUCCAAAUCCAAAACCCUUGCGUUGCGUGUUUCAAUGUCUGGAAUAGUGUGAAGAUUGGCUUUGUUAGAAUUAAAAUUGAAGAGUACUACAACAAGUAUAAAAUCUAACCUUUUCUUCAAAAAAAUAACAAAUAUAAAAUCUACC
rnacentral:lncRNA from 1 species